rnacentral:rRNA from 1 species
AUUGAACGCUGGCGGCAUGCUUUACACAUGCAAGUCGAACGGCAGCGCGGGCUUCGGCCUGGCGGCGAGUGGCGAACGGGUGAGUAAUGCAUCGGAACGUGCCCAGUAGUGGGGGAUAGCCCGGCGAAAGCCGGAUUAAUACCGCAUACGACCUGAGGGUGAAAGCGGGGGACCGAAAGGCCUCGCGCUAUUGGAGCGGCCGAUGUCGGAUUAGCUAGUUGGUGGGGUAAAGGCUUACCAAGGCGACGAUCCGUAGCUGGUCUGAGAGGACGACCAGCCACACUGGGACUGAGACACGGCCCAGACUCCUACGGGAGGCAGCAGUGGGGAAUUUUGGACAAUGGGGGCAACCCUGAUCCAGCCAUGCCGCGUGCGGGAAGAAGGCCUUCGGGUUGUCAACCGCUUUUGUUCGGGAAGAAAUCCUCUGGGCUAAUACCCCGGGGGGAUGACGGUACCGGAAGAAUAAGCACCGGCUAACUACGUG